rnacentral:rRNA from 1 species
UACGUAGGGGGCAAGCGUUGUCCGGAAUUAUUGGGCGUAAAGCGCGCGCAGGCGGUUCCUUAAGUCUGAUGUGAAAGCCCACGGCUUAACCGUGGAGGGUCAUUGGAAACUGGGGAACUUGAGUGCAGAAGAGGAGAGUGGAAUUCCACGUGUAGCGGUGAAAUGCGUAGAUAUGUGGAGGAACACCAGUGGCGAAGGCGACUCUCUGGUCUGUAACUGACGCUGAGGCGCGAAAGCGUGGGGAGCGAACAGG